UCCGUAGGCGGGCAGCUAAGUCAGUGGUGAAAGUCUGCAGCUCAACUGUAGAAUUGCCAUUGAUACUGGUUGUCUUGAAUUAUUAUGAAGUGGUUAGAAUGUGUAGUGUAGCGGUGAAAUGCAUAGAUAUUACAUAGAAUACCAAUUGCGAAGGCAGAUCACUAAUAAUAUAUUGACGCUGAUGGACGAAAGCGUGGGGAGCGAACAGGAUUAGAUACCCUGGUAGUCC
rnacentral:rRNA from 1 species